AGCGAACGCUGGCGGCAGGCUUAACACAUGCAAGUCGAGCGGGCAUAGCAAUAUGUCAGCGGCAGACGGGUGAGUAACGCGUGGUAACGUACCUUUUGGUUCGGAACACCACAGGGAAACUUGUGCUAAUACCGGAUAAGCCCUUACGGGGAAAGAUUUAUCGCCGAAAGAUCGGCCCGCGUCUGAUUAGCUAGUUGGUGGGGUAAUGGCUCACCAAGGCGACGAUCAGUAGCUGGUCGGAGAGGAUGAUCAGCCACAUUGGGACUGAGACACGGCGCAAACUCCUACGGGAGGCAGCAGUGGGGAAUAUUGGACAAUGGGCGCAAGCCUGAACCAGCCAUGCCGCGUGGGUGAUGAAGGCCCUAGGGUUGUAAAGCUCUUUUGUGCGGGAAGAUAAUGACGGUACCGCAAGAAUAAGCCCCGGCUAACUUCGUGCCAGCAGCCGCCGCCG
rnacentral:rRNA from 1 species